GGCGAAGCUCCGUCGGCAGCACCGUGUGCGUCUGCCGCCCCGAACUGCCGUCGUCCCGCUGUAAAACGAGACGUGAGGGCCCUGUCUAGCCGUGGCUUGCUGGCAGGCUCCCAAAAUGAAGAAAAAAGUGAAGAAAAGCCCCCGGCCCAUCCAGCAGCUGCAGCAGGUUGCUGUCCCUGGGUCCCUCACCAGCCUGGGCCCUGCGGACCACAUCAGGCCCAUUGCACACUGUUUAGCAGCCGGAGCGUCCUUAACAGGAUUUACAUCUAACAGCAUUACGGGUUCUUUCCAACCAGGCCUCACCAAUUCUGUCCUCAGCUCACCUACGAUGAGAAAGCAGAGCAUCUGUGCUGUUUCCUGAUUGUAUAAAAUACUGGGAAAUGCUGCCGCAGACUGGAAUCUCCAUCAGAUUGCCAGAUGUCCUGAAUAUCCAGAAUUCUGUCUUUGCCUUUCUCAUUUUAGCUGGCUGACAUGCUGACCCAGUCAGGCAGCACAAGUGGGAUCCAGGUCCUCCCGUUGCUGAAGGAAGCGCCCAGGAACGAGGCUGCAGGAUUAAGGAGGAAGUGGAGGUUUUAAUGAAGCAGAAUCCAUUCUUUGGUGGGGUGAAGGGAGCUGUCUCGUGGUGCCCUCUCGAGGUGGAGAGCUGCUCGUUUCAUUCACUGUUUAGAGCAGCAGGGAUGCGGACUGGAAGCGCAGCCCUUGCUGAAGAAGCUGAGAAAUCAGUUUGCUUUGGAAAAGAACCACUGCAGUAACUCCACGCAAAGUUGGUGGGUUCUGGAUUCCAUUUAAAAGCGCACACUGAUCCCUCUGCCUCCAACUUUUUUGUGAAAGCCAAAGGUGUUUCUCCCCUGUGUGAGAGCCGAUCAAAGUUAAAGGCUGCCUGCUUCCAUGAGGGCAGGGACACACUUCCCACAGUGUGCUCAUUUCCCUUGAAGUCUAGGAUAUGUUUGGGUAAUAAGGGGAUCCGAAACCUCGAUGCAUUAGGAAGGCCAGCCUCUGGCUUCAAGUUAAAUAGAGGGCCCUGUGCUUGUGGGAGAAAGCCUUGCAUGGCCUGGGAAGCUGAGCGGAGGGAUGCAAUCACUGCUGCUCUGUGAAGGACUACAAACUGCAGGCUUCCUGUUAACAGCAAUUAUCAGAUGAUUGGGUUGGAAACAUCUUUUGCCAUGCGACGGCAGAUUCUCCUUUCCAAAGGCCUCAUCUUAAAUCCAGCAAGGAGUGAGGAUUAUCAGUGCCAUAAGUCCUUUAGACUCAUUGAAUGCAUUACAUUUGUUUUGGACUGAGAUGGGUAGAAGCUGAGUGUUUUGGGGCAAGGACUCCAUCUGACAGAUGAGUAUGCUGUGGGUGCGUGCUGUUUUAUCAGUAGGCUGCCGUUCUGCUGCGUUGGAUAAAUUUCACCUGUGUCCACUUUGCUGUCACCUUUUCACAGGAUCUUUCUGAGUCAUCCCAGGCUACUCCCACCCGAUAUGGGUUAGACACAGGAGGCAAUUGCUGGCUGUAUUUUGUCGAAGUCCUUUCAGACCUCCUGCCACACCAAAUUGUCCCAACAGCAGCACUCACUGGAAGUCUGUUAUGUUCAUUGGACCAACAUUGAUUCAGCUGCACCCUUCAGGCCAGAUAGCCACAGAGGGCUUGAGAUGGCCAUGCUUUCAGAACUAGGAGGCAGUGGAGGCUGUGGCUACCAGAGAAGGCAGCUCACACAGAUUAGGUGCAACAAAGUGGGCUGAUGAAUGCUGCACCUUAGCAAGUGGCCUUUUUUUCCUUCUGAUAGCAAGACAGCUGUGGUCUUCAGAGACACCUGGGGAACAAGAUUUCCUGAAGGGUUUUUCUUUUUUGGUCUGAUUUUCUUCUGCUUUUACUAUAGAAGGCAGACUUCAUGAACUACAGCACCUCCUCUGUCCAUCUUUUAUGUGCAGCUUGGUUUUAGAGGUUAGAAGGUUUUUCAUCCAUUGAUUUUGUGCUCAUCAUGGAUAUGUUUUAAAAACACUCUUAAAAAAAAAGUCCCCACUUCUCAUGGAUAAAUUUUGAUGGGGAUGGUGGGAAAUAAAUGUAAACAACUGCUGAAUGACAUGCGGAAUCUGAUAGCACAAAUCCCCUCUGCAGAGCUGUAAAUUGACUCAAAGCUCCUGUUGUGUGGAAAAGAACUCUUGGGCCCAACGAGGGGUAAGAUGUUAAUAAAACCUUUGUUCACUGCUACAAUAGGGAGCAGCUAAGUGUGGUUUGGGGUUUCUGCCAAGUUAACCCUGACUUAUUCCCAUUGUCAGAAGUACUGCUAAGAAACCCUUUAAUGUGUUAUUAAGGGUGAAAUAUGAAAAAUAGUAUUUUUCAUUUCCAAUGCUCUGUUUAAAGCAGAAGUGUUCAUUGUAAGAACAUCCUUUAUUCCCUUUCCCCACUGCUACACUCAGUGCUUUAAAGAAAAUUCACAUUUUGUGUGGCACUAAUUUUCUUCUUGUUGGAAAAAAAGUUGCUUAUGUGGUCUGAAACUGCCACCAUCUUUAAUAUGGCCAGAGUCUUAUUUAAGAUGAAAGUGCAGGUGUUCUGAGCCCCUAAACACAUGCUAACCUGGCUUACUUGAUCGUUCCUUUGCCUGUGGCCUGUUAGUCACUGCCCAACCAUGGUCUCUUGCCCUGUUCUCAGCUCCUUAGGUCAGGAUGCAUGUGCAGUGCGUUCAGAUCCAUGCACGGGUUUGCAAUGGUAACUCAAAUAAUAAUCAAGUUGUGAAAAAUAAGACAGUAUGCAUUUCAACAAGUUCAAUUUUUAUUUCUCCAGUGAAGAAAUGUGAGAGAAAGAAAGCUUCUGUCUGCAGUCCUGCCCUUUAUUUGCAACUGCGCUGCUAGGGAUUCAGAGGCUGUAGAAGGCAGCAUUUCGAUGUAUCUCCACUAGAGGCCAAGCGUGGUGUGAUGACACCUGGUGUCAUCUUGGCAACCAGGGAAAAAAUAAAGGAGGUGGAAGGUCUAAGCUGGGCGCUCUGGUGGAGUCAAGGUGUCUUGGGAGCUGAGUGCACAGAGCUCCAGCCAUACGUUUAAAAGCAGCCUGGUGUCACAGCCACAUUCCUUCCAGCCCUCGUACCUUUCCUUGCCCUCUGUGCCACCCGCUCGUCUGAGGAAAGGUGGCAUCUAACCAAAACACACUUUUGGUGCUUUCAAUUAUAAAUCUUUACUCCAUUCUCAAAAUGUUUCCACUUGUUUUCUUGGCAGGACCUUGAGGAUCUCUCUUGAGAGUUCCGUUCACGUAGAUAUGCACAAAAGGAACAGUUUAUCUCCAGCUCCUGCUGACUUCCAUGAAUAAUUUGUUGUAAAAGCUAAGUUGAACUUCUGCAGUCUUGAGUAACUUUGGAGUACCAGUUUCUAAUAUUCCAGCCACAGACCUAAGCAGCCUUUCUACUUUUAGAGGCCAAAGCGGCCUCUCUGAUCUCCACUUAUCUGUAACCACCUUGGAAAUUUCCACUCCUUUUCCCUCCUUUUGGGUUCCCCAUAAAACCAAGAGCUCCUCACUGGCAGAACUUCCCUUCUGAAUUAAAACUUAAACAAAGAUUUGAUGGAACAAAGAUUUGAUGGGUCUUUACUCUUUCUUCUUCAUCGCUCAAAGUGCAUGCCAGGAAAUACUGUGCUGACAUAGGAAGGUGAGCAGCUGUUUUACAGGGUGUAUUCAUACACCCAGUCUCACUGAAGGCAAACAGAAUUGCUUAUCUGAGUAAUGCCACACAUGUGCCCGAGUGAUUGCAAAGGACUGAAAGGAGUUGGGAGUAGAAAUAAUAGCACUGCUUCAUCUCUCACAGAGCAGCGCCAACAAAAUAAUGAAGCUGCAUGAAUAAAGAACCAACAUAAUAAUCGGGCUGCCACCAUUUUUGGAAAAUUAGCACUUCUUCCAUAACAGUAACGGCUGCUGGGAAAAUGGUACAAAAUAUAACUGUCAGGUUAAGCACACCUUAAUCAACAUGCGCCGAGUCCCACUGAUGUGUCCUCAAAACUGUUACUUAAGGACUUGUUAAAGCCAAUUAAAUAAACAAAAUUUUACAGCCUAAUAGCAUAAACCACAUAAAUAACAUAAAAGAGCCAUAAUGGCUGAAUGGGUGAGUGUUUAGCCCUUCCUGAUUUAAAACAGUGAAGUGAAAAAUGUUGCAGCCCUUGAAGGUGAUUUUGAAGAUGAGGAAGUGACUGUGCUACACAAACAGCAAUCAGAGACAAUUAAGAGAACUGGGACAAGUGCCUCAUUCUCUCCACAGACUGCAUGGGAAAUUGCACUUUACAUUUCAGUCUCGUUGCAUUUAAAAUAAGGCCCCCAGCUAUGUCAUUUUUCAAGUCCAACUCAAAUCAAAAGAUGUUGCUUAAAAUCUUCCUAUUACUCCAGAAGUGAAAAGAAUGAUUGUCUAUGCUGAUGAGCCCAGAAGAUUGUCUUGGAAAGACUUUGGCAGUUUUGUCUCCCAGUCAUUAUAAUGUUAUUACUGCUCCUGAAGAAGACUGACAGAGCCUGAAUGCCACAAUAAGUACUGGGGCAGUUUUCAUGUUGUUUCCCUGCCAGCAGAGAAACUGUGCUGUGCUGUGCGUCUGUUUUCUUUUAGAGCUUCAUCUGAUGAAGAAUCUUCGACUGCACAGAAACAAAACAACAGAAAAUAAAGGCAAGCUAAGAACAGCCCAUAAAAAAAUUGAAAGAAUGCAAAUAGGGAAUUUUGGCAAUAAUGCAAUUAGACAUGUCUAUAUAUAAUUAUAACCUGUAUAAAUAUAACCCUAUCCAUAGACAGGUCCCGAGCACACACAGCCCUUGGGCAGCACCUGCUCAAAACCUUUCUGGUAAGCAUGGAAAGAUUUCAGUACAAAAUGGAGAGGUGUUCUGAAGCGGUCAGGUUGCCUCGCUUUGGCAGUCAUUGUUUUGUGAAGACAGGAGCACACUGAGCUUUCAGAGCUCAUACAGCUCCUCUGAUUUGUCUUAAAUUGUGAUGCCUAGAAAUGAGCGCCUCAGCUUUAAAGGUGCUUAAAGACAGAUGUAAGUGACCAGCUUUCCCACGGUGCAAACCAUAGAGCCAUCUAGGAUGUAAAGGACCUGUAGGGUCAUCCAGUCAAACUAGCAGCCUGACCUACCAGGUCCCAUCGCUACGCCAUGUCCAGCAGUGCCACAUCCACACCUCCUACAUACCUCCAGCGAUGGGGACUCUGCUGCCUCCUUCAGCAGCCUGUUCCAAAGCUUAACCACCUGCUCUGUGAAGAAAAUACUCUCAAUGUCCAAUCUAAACUUCCCUUGGUGCGACUGGAGGCUGUUUCCUCACAUCCUGUCACGUUACCUGGGAAAAGAGACCAACACCCUCCUUGCUGCAAACUCCUUUCAGACAGCUCUAGAGCACGAUGAAGCCUCCCCUCAGCCUCCUCUUCUCCAGAAUGAGCAGCCCCAGUUCCUUCAGCUGCUCUGUCUUGGAUUUGGAGACGUAAGGAGCAGCAGAGUACGAGUAUCAUUAAUAUGUUUAUUUUUUAAAGUUGUUUUUUUUCCUAAUG